rnacentral:rRNA from 1 species
AUGGAGUUCAGGCUGAAUCCGAUGUGCACUAGGGAUAGGGAUCUCUGGCAUAUGCGGUGCCCACUGAUAUGCAACUGGGCGGUUGAGCUUCACCUGCCACAUCGGGUGUUUCGUCAGUUUGGUUUGUUCCAGCCACACCCGCCGGAGUGGGAGGACACGGACAAGUUGCUACACGCGUUGGAUAGGAAAAAGCAGCGGAAGAUCAAGGAUUGGGCCAAGCAUCACAUCAAGUAUGUCGUGCAGUUCGCUCUUAGUGUGGAGCAAGCAAGGGCUGGAAAACGAGCCCAGCUUCGUGAGCACUGCCUGAUCGCGUUCAACAACUAUCUCACAUGGUUUCCUGCAAGUACCCACGUGGAGGUAUGCCAACCGGCGUAUGCUGAGGAGAUUCUGGAAGAACCCACCGUUUUUGAUGAGGUAGCCCAGCACCAGUACAACGCAUUAGUCAGGAAAGGCAACUCAGUGAUCCCUUCAGCUCCAAUGAUGAACUUUGUGCAUGCCCAGAUCAAGAAAGCAGCUGAUGAGACCGAGACUAUUCUGGAAACAACCCCGGCUGGCAAAAGCGAUGGGGAAGGUGCACUUCGAGCAUUCAUUAAGCGCCAGGGCCAAAAGUUAAGGCGGCUAUCAAACCUUUUCGGUUGUCGUGACCCUGAGUAUGUAUCACCAGAACGGUCUAGGUCAGCGACACCAUCAGAUCCCGCUUCGGGGCAGGGCCAUGGUGAACCUUUCGAGGAUGAGGACGUGGGUGUGGUCACCCAAGAGGUUGCUGAUGAUAUGACCGUGGGGAGGUACCAGGCUCGGUCUGCAUACGAGUUGAAGCCUAGGACGGGAAUCAACAAGUACACACCUGAAGACUUCACCCAAAGAGGCCAAAGAGGCAAAAGGACGGUCGGCACCUCGCGGAUGGCGGCUUUGGAUGACUAUUUGGAUGACGUGGACGAACCGGAGCCGGAGCGGGUUCCUCUUCCUAGGAAGGUGAAGAAGAUAAGCGUCAAGAGGGGGGAGGAGCCAGCGAGCGUGGAAAGCACUAGUCAUCGUCAUUUUUUUUAUAAUGUUGAACUUAGAGUGGAAUUUGUUAUGUCGUUGAACUUGGAGUGGUCGUACCUUUUAGUAAUGUGGAAUUUGUUAUGUCGUUGA